rnacentral:rRNA from 1 species
CCCUUAGAUGUUCUGGGCCGCACGCGUGCUACACUGAGUGGAUCAGCGGGUCAGGUUGCGCGAAAGCGUUUCCUAAUCUUUAAAUCCGCUCGUGAUGGGGAUUGACGGUUGCAAUUUUCUGUCAUGAACGAGGAAUACCUUGUAAGCGCGGGUCAUCAUCCCGCGCUGAAUACGUCCCUGCCCUUUGUACACACCGCCCGUCGCUCCUACCGAUUGAGUGGUCCGGUGAGGCUUUGGGAUCUGAGCGGAAAGAGCGUUUCGCUGUUUCUGCUCGGAAAACUCAGUCGAACCUUAUCAUUUAGAGGAAGGAGAAGACGUAACA